AGGAUGAACGCUGGCGGCGUGCUUAACACAUGCAAGUCGAACGGUGAAGUGAGGAGCUUGCUCCUUGCGGAUCAGUGGCGAACGGGUGAGUAACACGUGAGUAACCUGCCCUUGACUCUGGGAUAAGCGUUGGAAACGACGUCUAAUACCGGAUACGACCUCCGAAGGCAUCUUGUGGAGGUGGAAAGAAUUUCGGUCAAGGAUGGACUCGCGGCCUAUCAGCUAGUUGGUGAGGUAAUGGCCCACCAAGGCGACGACGGGUAGCCGGCCUGAGAGGGUGACCGGGCCAACGACUGGGACUGGAGACACGGCCCAGACUCCUACGGGAGGCAGCAGUGGGGAAUAUUGCACAAUGGGCGCAAGCCUGAUGCAGCAACGCCGCGUGAGGGACGACGGCCUUCGGGUUGUAAACCUCUUUUAGUAGGGAAGAAGCGAAAGUGACGGUACCUGCAGAAAAAGCACCGGCUAACUACGUGCCAGCAGCCGCGGU
rnacentral:rRNA from 1 species